rnacentral:rRNA from 1 species
CACGUAGGGCGCAAGCGUUGUCCGGAAUUAUUGGGCGUAAAGAGCUCGUAGGUGGUUUGUUACGUCCGCUGUGAAAUCCUAGGGCUUAACCCUGGGCUUGCAGUGGAUACGGGCAGACUAGAGGUAGGUAGGGGAGAAUGGAAUUCCUGGUGGUAGCGGUGAAAUGCGUAGAUAUGCGGAGGAACACCGAUGGCGAAGGCAAUCCCCUGGGCCUGCACUGACGCUCAUGCACGAAAGCGUGGGGAGCAAACAGG